GGUGUGACAGGGGCUUUAGGAACGAUUGAUCCUGCUCACGGAAGUUCUUGCAUAUACCGAACAUAAAUGUAAGUACUGAACAUGCAGCUUGAAUGUCUUCAUCCUGAAAUGUGAACGUCUCAACAAACAUAUGCACAUUAUGGUCGGUUCAAACUGCGCGAUGGAGGUGAAUGAAGUGCCACGUACGUUGCGUACCGUAAUCCCUUUUGCCGCACACUUCCUCUGCACAGCAUAUGGUGAUGGUCGUUUGAUGGGCGUUUGAUGCAACAAUUUUCUCUUUCAACGGACUCCCUGACAACCACAUCACACGACCAGCUCCAACAAGCUCCAACCAUGCUCCAACCAGUACCCAAAGCAACAAUCUCAACUCAAGACAAAGACGUGGCACACCUAUUCUUUCCAGUUACAACUGCAAGAUUCCUGCUCCUUUUCCUCACCCGUUCAAAACACAUUUUUCUUCUAGCCAUAAUUUCAUAUUUAGAAGUCAUGA